rnacentral:rRNA from 1 species
AGCGAACGCUGGCGGCAGGCCUAACACAUGCAAGUCGAACGGCUCUUCGGAGCAGUGGCGGACGGGUGAGUAACGCGUGGGAACGUGCCCUUUGGUUCGGAACAACACAGGGAAACUUGUGCUAAUACCGGAUGUGCCCUUCGGGGGAAAGAUUUAUCGCCAUUGGAGCGGCCCGCGUUGGAUUAGGUAGUUGGUGGGGUAAAGGCCCACCAAGCCGACGAUCCAUAGCUGGUCUGAGAGGAUGAUCAGCCACACUGGGACUGAGACACGGCCCAGACUCCUACGGGAGGCAGCAGUGGGGAAUCUUGCGCAAUGGGCGAAAGCCUGACGCAGCCAUGCCGCGUGAAUGAUGAAGGUCUUAGGAUUGUAAAAUUCUUUCACCGGGGAAGAUAAUGACGGUACCUCAGGAAUAAGCACCGGCAAACUACGUGCCAGCCGCCGCGGUAACAC